GGGGAAUAUUGCACAAUGGGCGCAAGCCUGAUGCAGCCAUGCCGCGUGUGUGAAGAAGGCCUUCGGGUUGUAAAGCACUUUCAGCGAGGAGGAAGGGUAGUGUGUUAAUAGCACAUUGCAUUGACGUUACUCGCAGAAGAAGCACCGGCUAACUCCGUGCCAGCAGCCGCGGUAAUACGGAGGGUGCAAGCGUUAAUCGGAAUUACUGGGCGUAAAGCGCACGCAGGCGGUUUGUUAAGUCAGAUGUGAAAUCCCCGCGCUUAACGUGGGAACUGCAUUUGAAACUGGCAAGCUAGAGUCUUGUAGAGGGGGGUGAGAAUUCCAGGUGUAGCGGUGAAAUGCGUAGAGAUCUGGAGGAAUACCGGUGGCGAAGGCGGCCCCCCUGGACAAAGACUGACGCUCAGGUGCGAAAGCGUGGGGAGCAAAACAGGAUUAGAUACCCUGGUAGUCCACGCUGUAAACGAUGUCGACUUGGAGGUUGUGCCCUUGAGGCGUGGCUUCCGGAGCUAACGCGUUAAGUCGACCGCCUGGGGGAGUACGGCCGCAAGGUUAAAAC
rnacentral:rRNA from 1 species